rnacentral:lncRNA from 1 species
AUUGCCUUAGAGACUUUCUGUUGUACUAAAACCCCUCUCAUUUUUUGCUGCCAUAUAGGAAAAUCUCCCUUCCCAUUAAAGACCCCAAGUUCAAAACUAGUGGAAGUCAUUUUCUAGAUCAAACAAGUCACACUCAGUAAUUUCUGAUUUGAUCAUAACAUACAGAUGAGAAACAGAGAUUCUUCAUAACACAGGCAAAGCAACAUAAUGUGUGUAAGUGCGGAAAUAACAAUUU